AGGGCUUGACAUCGGUCUGACCGGGUUAGAGAUAGCCCUUCCCUUCGGGGCAGACUAGAC
rnacentral:rRNA from 1 species